rnacentral:rRNA from 1 species
CCUACGGGAGGCAGCAGUGAGGAAUAUUGGUCAAUGGGCGGAAGCCUGAACCAGCCAAGUCGCGUGAGGGAAUAAUGCCCUACGGGUCGUAAACCUCUUUUGCCGGGGAGCAAGGGCGGGGACGUGUCCCGGCCCGGAGAGUACCCGGAGAAAAAGCAUCGGCUAACUCCGUGCCAGCAGCCGCGGUAAUACGGAGGAUGCGAGCGUUAUCCGGAUUUAUUGGGUUUAAAGGGUGCGUAGGCGGGCUUUUAAGUCAGCGGUAAAAUUGCGGGGCUCAACCCCGCCGAGCCGUCGGAACCGGGGGCCUUGAGUACCGGAGAAGUACGCGGAAUGCGUGGUGUAGCGGUGAAAUGCAUAGAUAUCACGCAGAACCCCGAUUGCGAAGGCAGCGUACCGGCCGGUCACUGACGCUGAGGCACGAAAGCGCGGGUAUCGAACAGGAUUAGAUACCCUGGUAGUC